UUUGGGGUGCCAGGUCUUGGAAAUUUUGCCACAGAGGUGUAGAACAGUUUCCACCUCUCCUUUCCGGGGGUUGAAACCCACUACUGUAGAGGCAAGGAAGGAAGGAAGUCCCAGACGGGAGCAGCUCCGACGUCUCUCUGUGCCAAGCACACUCUGUAGGAGGACAAGUCGAUGCCAGCUGCAUGUCUAAGCUAUAGCCAUCAUUCUAUUGUAUUUCCAACAGAGGAGCAAACACAUGGAGAGAUGGAAAUGGGUUCUUUCUCUAGGAAACAAAACCAGUGACAUUUCAGCCUGGCCUGACUAGCAAGUAAUGAGUGCUGCCAUCCUAUCAACACAAGUUUGCCUUCUCUAGUGAAGCUCUUAAAUCACACAAAAACACCUUCAGAAGCAACUAAGAUUAUCAUAAUAAUCAUCCAUAUAUCCCAAUAUACUUCUUGAGGGCUCCUGAUGAGAAGAAUGGUCCCUUACACUGCCUUCAUGAUUCCUUCAUUUAGUGACCAAGGGAUUCCUCAUAUGGAAGCAUUUGUGAUCUUUUCCCUUUGGUGAUGUUUGUUGCACAAUGAGGCUGAUCACUGCCAGGAUAACAGCCUGGGAUUUGUUGGGAAGUGUGAUGUAACGGGAAUUCCUAGCAGUUUUUAUGCAAACACCUUUUUUUCCCUGGCUCCCACUGGUGCAUGUAAACUACUUGGCAAACAAUGGAACACUUAAGUGACGUGCUCUUUUUUUUAUUGCAAUAACUUUUAUCUCUGCUAAGGACUAGUUCUUGGUAAAUUCUUCUUUGAAAGACCAAAGAUUGCCUUCAAACUUUCUAGACUUACUGCUUGGCAAUGAUGGAAUUAUGAUAUAUGUACACUUUUAGGAAAACUCUUCUCUGCAAGUCCUGCAAAGAAGUAUCUGUUCUCCAAAGACCUCAUCUGGCCUGACUUUUCCAGCACUGGUAAAGCACUUCUGGAUCCCCAAGGAGAGCAUGAAGACAGGGAGAAAAUGUGCCUACCACUUGUGCCUAUGGAGAGAUUUAGGAAAAUACUUGAUGGCUGGGUCACUUAUCCCUUCUGCUUCCUAUAAAUGCUCUGUGGCUACAGCUGUGAUAAAAGGGAAAUUCCAGUGUAUCCUUGAUGCUGUUCCAUUGCUUCUAGUAACAUUGGAAAAGUGAAGCCACUGCAAGCCUUUGAUCACUCCUGGGGUACAGGAGGAAUGCCAGCAGCUGCUCCAGAUUAUGCUCCCACCACUGCUGUGCCUGUGGGGAUGUGCUCACGCUGCACCGAGGCACAGGGACUUCCCCAGGGACCAGUGACCAUCCUGGUCCUUCCCUGUCUCCAUGCCACCUUGGGACAGGUGCAGAGCCCCGGGCUGUGGCAUCCCCUGGAAUGCCACUGCCACAGCCUUGUGCUGCAUGCUGUGGGGUGCUCCUCUGGGGGAAGUGGCUGUGCAAAUAGCCAGGGCCUGCUCAGCAGUUUAACCCCGCUCUGGUUUGGGUUGUAGUCACUGAGGGAAGCUGUGGUGGAUGCUGUACCAGAAGCAGCAGCCACACUGAGACAUGGGGAAGUAAAACCUCACAACACAAGAGCCAAAUUAGCCAGGCUGUUUAUCCACCAUAUUCCCCUUGGCACAACAGGAGAGUGUCUGGCAUUACCAGUACAACCCUCUAAAAUCUGCCCUUUUCCCUUUGGUGUCCACUUCAGCAGCUUGAGUUGCUCCAUUAGAAUCCAGGGAAUGUUACUUAUGGGCUGAAAAAUUCCUGUGGAGGAUGAGGAGCUCCUUUGGAGGAUCAGAAACUGCUGGGAAAGGGAAAGAGAUGCUCAGUUUGAAAAAAUAAUCCUCCGAAUUCUUUGGAAAGGUAAUGCUCUAGUCCUGUACCAGUGUCACUUAUAUAGGCAUUGUCUCAUGAGCCUGCUCUCUUUUGGGCACUGUCUUCAUGCUCAAGUUUGGUGUUAGCAGGGCUUGCAGCAAACUGAGCCAGCUUAUUUCCUACCCCUGACACUCUACUGAUAUAUCACUUUCUUCUAGAACAGUGUCUUAGUUUUUUCUCCUGACUGUCUGCUCUGGCACAUGAGUGACCUGGGAGCUGGUGAGCGCUGCCUCUCAGAUCCCCAGCCAAAGGUCAGUAGCCUCAUGGUGGCCUCCGGAUUCCUCAGAUAGCGACCCCUGUCAUGUGGGGAGGCAUUAACCUUUGGCCCUGAGUAAGUGUCCUCAUAUCUCACCUCAGUUAGUCUGGCCUGCUAUUUGAUCCUGCCCAGUAUAAACCCCUUCCCUUUGGCAUCCCGCAAAUCUAAGCCCCGUCUUGAUGAUUUCCAGCAUGCCAUCCACCUGAUGCUGAUGAGAGAUAGCCCGUGUGUUGCACCCAGGGCUGAGUAAGCUGUGGCAGAAGCUUGGGAAGAGCUGAUUGUCUGUUCACAGUCCCUCCUGCCUCCCGAGGGAGCAGUGGUGGUGGUGGUGGCUCCCGCUGUGUAACCUCUCUUCCUCACCCAAAAUAGGGACAGCUACUGUGGGAGGAUGCUACCUGUAUGAUGCAACCAAGGUGUUUCGAGAGUUUGUGGUUUGGGGUUUUUUUAACUCCUGAUUCAUGGGGAGGGAGUCACUGAGAGUCCCUUACUUCAAAACAGGCUCUUGGGACAGAGUUAGACUCAUCACCAGAUCUUAGUAUGUUCCAAAAAUGUGAGAUUUCUCUUGCCUCUUUUUUUAAUGUAGAGCUUGGUCAGGGGUUCACCUCAGUGCACGACCACUAUUCUUGCCAACUCCCAUGUUUACUUGACACAUAACCUCUCACAGCUCCCUUGGGUCCAUCUCAGGGCUGUACAGGCGUUCUUAGUUCAGCUCUGAUGAAUGAUCAUUUUACUUCCUUGCACUGGGUAAACAGCUGUUUUCCAUGUUACCUGCUUUAGGAGCCUCACUGGCAUGUUGUUUCUUUCCUUGCCUCCAGCAACAAGCAGACACAAGUGACUAAUUGCAGCAGGGCUGCACCAGCACCUUCUUGCAGUCAGGACAGUGUGAAAAAUGCACAUCAUUUUCAUACAGCACACCACAUGUCAAAUGGCUGCAAGAUAAAAUAACAGGGAGCAGGCUCUUGCAGUCUCUCUUCCAUAUCUUUUACUACUUAAAAGAAUGAAAGCAG